rnacentral:rRNA from 1 species
GUCGAGAAUCUUUCACAAUGGGGGCAACCCUGAUGGAGCGACGCCGCGUGGAGGAUAAGGUCUUCGGAUUGUAAACUCCUGUCAUGUGUGAACAAGGUUGCGGGGCUAAUACCUUUGCAAAUUGAUGGUAACACAAGAGGAAGAGACGGCUAACUCUGUGCCAGCAGCCGCGGUAAUACAGAGGUCUCAAGCGUUGUUCGGAAUCACUGGGCGUAAAGGGUGCGUAGGUGGCGUGGUAAGUCAGAUGUGAAAGCCCGGGGCUCAACCUCGGAAUUGCAUCCGAUACUGCCAUGCUCGAGUACUGAAGAGGUGACUAGAAUUCUAGGUGUAGCAGUGAAAUGCGUAGAUAUCUAGAGGAAUACCAAAGGCGAAGGCAGGUCACUGGGCAGUUACUGACACUGAGGCACGAAGGCCAGGGGAGCGAACGGGAUUAGAUACCCGAGUAGUCC